AUGGGUGGCCUCGGUUUUCCAGAUAUCGAGCUGUUCAACCUAGCUCUUCUAGCUCGUCAAGCAUGGAGGUUGAUGCAGCAACCCAAUUCUCUAAGCGCUCGCGUUUUGAAGGCUCGGUAUUUCUCAGAUGCCGAUUUGUUGAACGCCACUUUGGGAAAUACCCCUUCCCAGGGGCUUAUCAAGAGGAUCGGCACAGGUGUUAGCACUAACGUUUGGUCCAACAACUGGAUGCCGAGAGAUUAUGAGCCGAGGCCCAUCUGUGCCCGUUCAGCGAACCCGCCGGUGAUGGUGUCGGAGCUUAUCAACCCUGCAACCCGAUCGUGGAAUAAACUAGCCCUAAUAGAGCACUGCAUACCUGCUGAUGUCGAGGUUAUUCUCAAUAUACCACUUAGCACAAGGCAACAGGAGGACUUCUGGGCUUGGCAUUAUGAUAAGCGAGGUAUUUUUUCGGUAAGGUCAGCAUACAGGAUGAUUUGUGCUAUCAAGACACAAAGAGAGGAUUGGCUAGAACAUCGACCAGGCCAUUUGAACAUUGCUGCUAUAAAAAUCUCAUGGACCCAGCUGUGGAAGGUGAAAGUCCCUUCAAAAAUCAGAGUGUUUGUGUGGCGUUUAGCGCAUACUUCAAUCCCAACCGGCUCGGUUAGACAUGGUAGACACAUGACAGAUUCUCCAUCUUGCUCUAUUUGUGGGGCGGAGGAGGACACUUGGCGCCACUCAUUAUUAAGUUGUCGCAUGGCAAGAUGUGUUUGGGCCUUGGAGGAUGAAGAGCUGGUCGGGCAUGUGAUAUCAAACCAAAACGAUGAUGCUAGGCUUUGGCUGUUUUGGCUUUUUGAGACCACUAAGCAACAAGAUCUAGCCCGAAUUCUAGUGACCAUGUAG
rnacentral:rRNA from 1 species